CACACCGCCCGUCGCUACUACCGAUUGAAUGGCUCAGUGAGGCCAUCGGACUGGCCUGUGGAGGUUGGCAACGACCACCGCGGGCCGGAAAGUUGUACGAACUCGGUCAUUUAGAGGAAGUAAAAGUCGUAACAAGGUUGACCCUUCGCAUCCUGCGGAAGCCUUUGCAGCUGGAAACAGUGGCCGGGACGACUYUAAACAUUGCCGGCCUCAUGCAAGUCAGCGCUCGCUGGCGACACUCUCGAAUUGACGGGGAACUCCUAAAGCCCUUCGCACCAAGCCAGCCCGGGAAACCGGCUGGUGGCCCGUGGGAAACCACCGGGGUAUGGUAACAGAGGAGGGGAUGAUCCGGGGCCACGGCCCUGGGGAAAUGGACGAUCCGCAGCGAAGCCCCUACCGUCGUCCUCGGACGACCAUGGGGAACGUUCACAGACUAGGCGUGAGUGGGUAGGGCACCGGGUGCCCUGCUUAAGAUAUAGUCGGGCCGGGCGAGAAAUCGCUUGGGCGCCACCGUUCCGUAGGUGAACCUGCGGAAGGAUCAUUAACGCACAAAAUAAGACGCCUACCUGACAAAAGGGACUCGGCUGGAGAGAGGGCGUAGACCCGCCAGCCUUGGCCCGGUAGUGGCUGGACCCUUUGCCUAUGUAUACCCUUUGUUUCCUCGGCAGGCUUGCCUGCCGACGUUAACCACCAAAACCCUUUUAUAAAAAGUAACCAACUCUGAUAACCACCUAAUCGUUACAACUUUCAACAAUGGAUCUCUUGGUUCUGGCAUCGAUGAAGAACGCAGCGAAAUGCGAAAAGUAGUGUGAAUUGCAGAAUUCCGUGAAUCAUCGAAUCUUUGAACGCACAUUGCGCCCCUCGGUAUUCCGUGGGGCAUGCCUGUUCGAGCGUCAUUUACACCCUCAAGCACUGCUUGGUGUUGGGCGUCUGUCCUGCCUCUGCGCGUGGACUCGCCCCAAAGUCAUUGGCAGCGGUCGUGCCGGCUUCUCGCGCAGCACUUUUGCGCUUCUCGAAGUCCCGGUGGGCCGGCGUCCAGCAAGCCUUUCACGACUUGACCUCGGAUCAGGUAGGGAUACCCGCUGAACUUAAGCAUAUCAAUAAGCGGAGGAAAAGAAACCAACGGGGAUUGCCCUAGUAACGGCGAGUGAAGCGGCAACAGCUCAAAUUUGAAAUCUGGCUCCCUCUUUGGGGGUCCGAGUUGUAAUUUGCAGAGGGUGCUUUGGCGUUGGUGGCGGUCUAAGUUCCUUGGAACCGGACAUCGCAGAGGGUGAGAAUCCCGUAUGUGGUCGCCUGCCUUCGCCGUGUAAAGCCCCUUCGACGAGUCGAGUUGUUUGGGAAUGCAGCUCUAAAUGGGAGGUAAAUUUCUUCUAAAGCUAAAUACUGGCCAGAGACCGAUAGCGCACAAGUAGAGUGAUCGAAAGAUGAAAAGCACUUUGGAAAGAGAGUCAAAAAGCACGUGAAAUUGUUGAAAGGGAAGCGCUUGUCGCCAGACUUGCCCGCAGUUGCUCACCUGGGCUCCGGCCCGGGGCACUCUUCUGCGGGCAGGCCAGCAUCAGUUCGGGCGGUUGGAUAAAGGCCUCUGUCACGUAUCUUCCUUCGGGAUGACCUUAUAGGGGAGGCGACAUGCAACCAGCCCGGGCUGAGGUCCGCGCUUCGGCUAGGAUGCUGGCGUAAUGGCUGUAAGCGGCCCGUCUUGAAACACGGACCAAGGAGUCUAACAUCUAUGCGAGUGUUUGGGUGUCAAGCCCGAGCGCGCAAUGAAAGUGAACGCAGGUGGGAACCUUCGGGUGCACCAUCGACCGAUCCUGAAGUCUUCGGAUGGAUUUGAGUAUGAGCAUAGCUGUUGGGACCCGAAAGAUGGUGAACUAUGCUUGAAUAGGGUGAAGCCAGAGGAAACUCUGGUGGAGGCUCGCAGCGGUUCUGACGUGCAAAUCGAUCGUCAAAUUUGGGCAUAGGGGCGAAAGACUAAUCG
rnacentral:rRNA from 1 species